GAAAUGCGAUACGUAAUGUGAAUUGCAGAAUUCAGUGAAUCAUCGAAUCUUUGAACGCACCUUGCACCCCUUGGCAUUCCGAGGGGUACACCCGUUUGAGUGUCGUGAAAUUAUCAACCUCCUCAAUUUUCUUGGGGAAGGCUUGGACUCUGGAGGCUUUUGCUGGUCUCUCUCUCUUUUGAAGCCAGCUCCUCUUAAAUGAAUUAGUGGGGUCCCUCUUCGCCGGUCCCUCGACGUGAUAAGAUUUCUCUACGUCCGAGGUUUGGCUUCGUAGGCCCGCUUCUAAUAAUCUCUUUUGAACCCUUUGACCUCAAAUCGGGUGAGACUACCCGCUGAACUUAA
rnacentral:rRNA from 1 species